rnacentral:rRNA from 1 species
GACGAACGCUGGCGGCGUGCCUAAUACAUGCAAGUCGAACGAAGCUUUUUUAACUGGUGCUUGCACCGACUUAAACAACUGAGUGGCGAACGGGUGAGUAACACGUGGGUAACCUGCCCCAAAGCGGGGGAUAACAUUUGGAAACAGAUGCUAAUACCGCAUAACCACAGAAACCACAUGGUUUCUGUGUCAAAGAUGGUUUCGGCUAUCACUUUGGGAUGGACCCGCGGCGUAUUAGCUAGUUGGUAAGGUAAUGGCUUACCAAGGAAAUGAUACGUAGCCGAACUGAGAGGUUGAUCGGCCACAUUGGAACUGAGACACGGCCCAAACUCCUACGGGAGGCAGCAGUAGGGAAUCUUCCACAAUGGACGAAAGUCUGAUGGAGCAACGCCGCGAGAGUGAAGAAGGUUUUCGGAUCGUAAAACUCUGUUGUCAGAGAAGAACGUGUGCGAGAGUAACUGUUCGUGCAGUGACGGUAUCUGGCCAGAAAGCCACGGCUAACUACGUGCCAGCAGCCGCAGUAA